rnacentral:tRNA from 1 species
UACCCGCAAGUCAAGUGGCUGCCAGAAGCACACGAGCGAGCAACAGCUUUCUUGCUUCAGGUCC